AGAAGCACCAGCAGCAUCCAUGGCCUGUCUUUUGGCUUAACACUUAUCUCCUUUGGCUUUGACAGCGGACGGAAUAGACCUCAGCAGCGGCGUGGUGAGGACUUAGCUGGGACCUGGAAUCGUAUCCUCCUGUGUUUUUUCAGACUCCUUGGAAAUUAAGGAAUGCAAUUCUGCCACCAUGAUGGAAGGACUGAAAAAACGUACAAGGAAGGCCUUUGGAAUACGGAAGAAAGAAAAGGACACUGAUUCUACGUAUGUACUUUAGGAGUUUGCCUCCUCGAAGAAGCUACUUGCAUAAGAGAUGCUCUUGUCACAGUCAAUAUAAGAUGGCCACAGUUUUCUCGGAUAUUGUGUACUAUUUGCUUUCCUCAUUUCUGAGUAAAUUGUAAUUAUUCAAUAUAA
rnacentral:sRNA from 1 species